rnacentral:rRNA from 1 species
GACGAACGCUUGCGGCGUGCUUAACACAUGCAAGUCGAACGGAAAGGCCCUGCUUUUGUGGGGUGCUCGAGUGGCGAACGGGUGAGUAACACGUGAGUAACCUGCCCUUGACUUUGGGAUAACUUCAGGAAACUGGGGCUAAUACCGGAUAGGAGCUCCUGCCGCAUGGUGGGGGUUGGAAAGUUUCGGCGGUUGGGGAUGGACUCGCGGCUUAUCAGCUUGUUGGUGGGGUAGUGGCUUACCAAGGCUUUGACGGGUAGCCGGCCUGAGAGGGUGACCGGCCACAUUGGGACUGAGAUACGGCCCAGACUCCUACGGGAGGCAGCAGUGGGGAAUAUUGCACAAUGGGCGGAAGCCUGAUGCAGCAACGCCGCGUGCGGGAUGACGGCCUUCGGGUUGUAAACCGCUUUCGCCUGUGACGAAGCGUGAGUGACGGUAAUGGGUAAAGAAGCACCGGCUAACUACGUGCCAGCAGCCGCGGUGAUACGUAGGGUGCGAGCGUUGUCCGGAUUUAUUGGGCGUAAAGGGCUCGUAGGUGGUUGAUCGCGUCGGAAGUGUAAUCUUGGGGCUUAACCCUGAGCGUGCUUUCGAUACGGGUUGACUUGAGGAAGGUAGGGGAGAAUGGAAUUCCUGGUGGAGCGGUGGAAUGCGCAGAUAUCAGGAGGAACACCAGUGGCGAAGGCGGUUCUCUGGGCCUUUCCUGACGCUGAGGAGCGAAAGCGUGGGGAGCGAACAGGCUUAGAUACCCUGGUAGUCCACGCUGUAAACGGUGGGUACUAGGUGUGGGGUCCAUUCCACGGGUUCCGUGCCGUAGCUAACGCUUUAAGUACCCCGCCUGGGGAGUACGGCCGCAAGGCUAAAACUCAAAGGAAUUGACGGGGCCCCGCACAAGCGGCGGAGCAUGCGGAUUAAUUCGAUGCAACGCGUAGAACCUUACCUGGGUUUGACAUGGAUCGGGAGUGCUCAGAGAUGGGUGUGCCUCUUUUGGGGUCGGUUCACAGGUGGUGCAUGCCUGUCGUCAGCUCGUGUCGUGAGAUGUUGGGUUAAGUCCCGCAACGAGCGCAACCCUUGUUCACUGUUGCCAGCACGUUAUGGUGGGGACUCAGUGGAGACCGCCGGGGUCAACUCGGAGGAAGGUGGGGAUGACGUCAAGUCCUCAUGCCCCUUAUGUCCAGGGCUUCACGCAUGCUACAAUGGCUGGUACAGAGAGUGGCGAGCCUGUGAGGGUGAGCGAAUCUCGGAAAGCCGGUCUCAGUUCGGAUUGGGGUCUGCAACUCGACCUCAUGAAGUCGGAGUCGCUAGUAAUCGCAGAUCAGCAACGCUGCGGUGAAUACGUUCCCGGG